UUUGGUCUCUUCUGUUCUAGCAGCAGGAAAAAAGUUACCAUUUCUCCUCUUUUACGGCAUGUCGGUGUGAUUAUCUUGCUCGCUCUCUCUCAUUGAUUUUGGUGCCAAUGCUGUAUAUGUCUUUCUGCUCUAAUUUUUCUUUGUUUUGGAAAGGCAUAUGUCACUCUGUAGUUAGCAGAGCCCCCUGUAGUAGUUUUUUUUUAAUCAGCCACCCAGCAAGUCAUGGGUACUGAAACUCCAACACAUUCAAAGAAAUUUUAAUAACACCACUACAUACACACAUACACAACAAAGGGUAAAAUGUGCAUAAACAUUUAACUCAACUCUUCUCUCAUACAGCACCCUGAAUGAUAAAAAGAAACAACCAAAGUUCUCGUGUUUGAACAAGUUUUGUUUUGAGCUAUAUCAUGGCUGCUUGUGAAGUAUUAUUUUGCGUGUUUUAUUUAAUUCAGUGAUCUGCAGCCUAAUUAAAGUUUAAAUUUUUGAAGCACGCAUUUUAAAAUAAGUAAAACGUAAAAUAAAAGUUUUCUAAAGCCAAAAUAUGGAAUUGAAGAGGGUGAUACAGAAAUACUUCAUUGCACUGUCAAUUCGAAGCACGCAAUAGAAGCUACGCCAACAAUGGUCAACAUCAAUGGCGAAACCAUUUAAUACAUAUUUCAAACCUCAUAUGGCGCGUUAAAGGUACGCAAACUUAUUGGUGUCACUUAUUGUAGCAGCGUAGAACUUUCGAAGCGAUGGAAUAUGUGCUGCAAGCAAAUCCAAAACUAUGGACGCAAACGCUGCUACAUGGAACACAAAUCAUUCACACACCAGAUAUUACGGUUAAUGUCACGUUUUUGCGUGCAAUUAAACCUUUUGGUCAACACAAGCACGAGAAUUGGAACGACAUGGCGUGUGUCAACUGGGUUUUGCCAAUGAGCUAGAGGGCAAAGCAGUUUCAGUACCUUUGAGCUUACCGGCACUUGGCGGUGCCAUUAGCAGCUAAAACACACAAAAUAAAAGGGUAAAUUUAAGUGAAUGUUUGUGCUCAUAGGAGGACUUUUUUGAUUUAUUUUCACCUUGUAUUGAGGAACCAUAACGUUGUUGUAUCGCUUUACAAGGACAUAAAUUCACCGAAAUUAGUUCAAUGGAAAUACUACAAGAGCAUGGAUGUUAAGACUUGAACGGUGCCGUGUUAGAUUUAGAAUUCCUGAAACAUAAGAACUAACCGAAAACAGAGGGUAUAGUUUCUGGGCUUUUGAGGGUCGCAGUACUGAAAGUGCACAUUGGUCUCCAUUGGUCUUCAUUCUAUAGGUCACCUACUUUUCCAUUUAAAAAUGAAAAAUUUAAAUUGUUUUAUUUUU